UUACGGCCACAUCACGUUGGCACACCGGUUCCCAUAUGAUCAUCGAAGUUAAGCAACGUUGAGCGUCGUCUGUACCUAAAUGGUUGACCACUUUAGAAUAACAGGUGUUGUAA